rnacentral:lncRNA from 1 species
GGGUGCCCCCAUUUGGGGUGCCCCAAUUGGGGUGCCCUCUCUUGGGGUGUCCCCUCUCGGGGUGUCCUCAAUCAGGGUGUCCCCUUUUGGGGUAUCCCCAAUUGGGGUGUCCCCUGUUAGGGUGUCCCCAGUUGGGGUGCCCACUGACAGGGUGUCCCCUCUCGGGGUGUCCCAUUUGGGGUGUUGUCUCUCGGGGUGUCCCCAGUCAGGGUGUCCCCAGUUGGGGUGCCCCAUUUGGGGUGUCCUCUCUCAGGGUGUCCCCAGUCAGGGUGUCCCCAGUUGGGGUGUCCCCUUUUGGGGUGCCCCCUUUUGGGGUGUCUUCAAUUGGGGUGUCCUCAGGGUGUCCCCAUUUGGGGUGCCCCAAUUGGGGUGUCCCCUUUCGGCGUGUCCCCAGUCAGGGUGUCCCCAAUUGGGGUGCCCCCUUUUGGGGUGUUCCCAAUUGGGGUGUCCCCUGUUAGGGUGUCCCCAGUUGAGGUGUCCCCUUUUGGGGCGCUCCAUUUGGGAUGUCCUCUCUCGGGGUGGCCCCUCUUGAAGUGUCCUCUCUCAGGGGCGCCCCCUCUCGGGGCGUCCCCUUUUGGGGCGUCCCCAUUUGGGGUGUCCCCAUUUGGGGUGUCCCCGUUUGGGGUGCCCCCCUCACGGCGCCAGGCACUUGACGCCCGCGUCCUCGGCGUGCCCGCAGUUGGUUUUGCCCCAGCUGGAGAAGCCGCAGCGCAGCAGGCUGUCCUCGGUGCCCCUGCACGACACGUCGUCCAUCCAGAUCCUGCCCGUCCCUACAAAAAACACAGGGCCCGGGAUGAGCCCCCUCCUCACCCCGGGGGGGGGGGGGUCCCAGACACCGGGACGCUCACCCGGGGGGGUAACCCUAUAUUUUGGGGGUUCCCGAGCCACCCAGGAGGAAUAAUCCUUGUUUUGGGGGGAAAAACCCCAAAAGACGCACGCUGCUGUCCCGAAGAUGAAGCAUUAAGGGGGCUGUGGGCGCGUGGCAGAGGUGGGGGCACCACCCUGUGCCCCCCUCCGGGGUAUCCAAACGAGGUGGCACCGAGAGCGCAGCACCUUUGGGGUCCCCUAAAGCUGCUGCCAGGGCCAGCGGGUCCUGGAGGUCAGGGUGUCCCCCCCAGGGACCCCAAUAGGGUGGGCACCGGGGCCAAGUGGAUGGAGAAGGGGUCACAGAGCCCCCCCCAGGCUCGGCAGCUUGGGGGGGGGGGGCAAAGGUCACCAGGGUGGGUGCCAGGCGUUGCCACGAGGUUUUUUAAAAAG